rnacentral:rRNA from 1 species
UAGGUGGCAAGCGUUAUCCGGAUUUACUGGGUGUAAAGGGCGUGUAGGCGGGAGAGCAAGUCAGACGUGAAAUUCCAGGGCCCAACCCUGGAACUGCGUUUGAAACUGUUCUUCUUGAGUGAUGGAGAGGCAGGCGGAAUUCCGUGUGUAGCGGUGAAAUGCGUAGAUAUACGGAGGAACACCAGUGGCGAAGGCGGCCUGCUGGACAUUAACUGACGCUGAGGCGCGAAAGCGUGGGGAGCAAA